rnacentral:lncRNA from 1 species
GGCCUCUGAAGUGUCCAGGAAAGAGAGGCCAUCAGACUCCAAACAGUUAUGCAACUGGAGCCUCCUGAGGAUGACCCCUUCUGCCUGGGACCCUUAGAUCAGCCUCUAGAGAAGCUUUGACUGCUGUUUCCCCAAAACAGCACCCCCUGCCAUCAGGAAGCAGUAGAGAACCAUAAUAAUACCUACCUUGAAGUGAUGAUAUAAACUACAUGACACAGAGUACUUGCUUCACACAGUGUUGGAACACACAGAGCUGCCACCUGGAAAUCCCUGCUCAUCUAAGGGUUGCAUCUAGACUCUGGUAGAUUUGGGGAGGGUGGCAUUUGAGUUAUGUCCUUUCCUGAGCUGUCCCAUGCCACAGCUUGCUGCUCUGUUGUCUCCUGACAAUUGGUCUCCUUGCUGCUAUUUCCAGAAAGCUUCACACAGAAAGCUUCACACACUCCUCUCACUCCUCAGACCAUCUUUCACAUAAUACUGCUGUGUCUAACAGAUAUGUACACGAUGAGAGUAACAUACCGGGAACCCAGCAAUACAGCAGAAUUUCAAUACGUGACAACACUUUUCUUAAAAAUUCCCAGGUCUCACUGGUAGCAGGGAUUUGUCUCUGUUACCUUUUUCUAUGGUCUUUUUUGCCUCCAUGUUCCUAGGCUUCUUUUCAGCCAUUACCCUUUUCCUGUUUCCCCAGCUGCCUUGGAGCAAAUUUGGUUUCUUUAUUAUACAAAACAAUUUGGUCUUAAUUGAGAUUAAACUCCUGGUCUAUCUUCACACGUCUAAAAACCCUAAUGACUUUUACUCAACAAAAUAGUCAAUCCUUAAGUCAAUUCUUCAUUUCUCCCAGAAUGUGAAAGUGGAGGCAGAAAUUCUUUUCUUUUUUUAAUCUAAUUUCUCUCGUCCGUUAAACUAGCUAUUGCUGUUGUUAGUUCUGACACACUGAAACUGGAUUCUCAGAGCAGGGAACUUGAAAACAAGUCAGUAGACUGGCUGCAUUCCUCCUAAGCCAUUUCUCUACCUAUGCUUACACUUUGAGGUGAAACUAUAAACUGCUUAAUUUAAUUCAGCUUAAACGUUUGUUUCCCCAUUAUUAUUUCUCCAUUGAUUUUUGUCCAAUGGCUUGCAGUGCUUCCACAAAAGAACUUCAUAAAUUUGGUUUGAUUGAUAACUUCUAUAGGCCUCAUAGGCACCAGGGCUGGAAGAUAAAUAAACCUCAACACAGAAUGGAAGCUGUGUUUCAAAGGACAGUGGUGGUGGGGAAGAGGAGGGAGAGAUUACUUUGAAUGGUAUUGCCAAGUUUAUUUCAACAGCUUGAAAACAGCCGAUAAACACUGUAAAAAAAAAAAGAAAUUGAAGUCCUUCGUUUAGUGAGAACUGCUUGUCCAGAUAGGGUUGGGUGGCUGCCAGCUGGUGAAUCAAAUGUCAAUUGGGUUUACACCAUAGGAGACAAUCUGUUCUAGCAGUGUUUGGACUGGAAAAAGGGAAUGAAUUGGUAAAGAGCUGUUCUACAGGAUGCCAGUCUUUUAAGGAGCUGAGGAAAGCCCACAGAACACCAAAUUAUUACAGGGUCAGGACUGUGUCAUUUAUCUAUUUGCAGGCACAAGAGUAAUUAUUUUCUCAGCAUUAGGCAUAAGCUUUUCAGAAGAAUACUGCCAGGAUGAAAAAAUGCAUGAAACAGAUAUAUGUGUUGAAAACUCAGUGACAAGAUUUGUGUAAAAUUCAUUGCUUCUGGGUUUCUGGUAUGAACCUAGGGGAAUAUUGGAAAAUAACCAGUAGAUUCCUUAGCUUACUUAUUUCAGAUUACCUUUUAAGCCUUAAAGAUUCUGAUUUCUUUGUGAAUGAGACUUCCCAAUUGUAAUAACUUCAAAAAAAUAAACAUAACUUUAUAUUUUGUAAAUAUCCAAAUAAAUGCUCUUAUUUGAAAAAAGUUUUCACAAGAAAAAAUCUUAAAGUAGAAAAAUUACUCAUAACCCAUCACCCAAUAAAAUUACUUUCGGUUUUACUUUAUAAUGUAUAUCUUUCCAAGUGUGUGUGUGUGUCUGUAUAGAGAGGGAGGUGUUUGUGUGUGCAUUUUUCUGUACUUACAAAAUGAGAUCCCAUCAUACAUGUUGCUUUGAAACAUGUCUGUUUUUCUCUCACUGUAUCAUGUCAUCUUUUGAUGUUAAUAAAUACACAUGCAAGUACUUUUAUUUAAUGGCUGAAUAGAAUUCCUUGUGCAAAUAUACAGUAAUGCAAUUAAUUUCCUAUUGGCAAAUAUUUGGGUUAUUUCUAAUUUUUGCCCAUUA